AUUGAACGCUGGCGGCAGGCUUAACACAUGCAAGUCGAGCGAGCGGCGGACGGGUGAGUAAUGUCUGGGAAACUGCCUGAUGGAGGGGGAUAACUACUGGAAACGGUAGCUAAUACCGCAUACUAUCGGCUGACCCCAUAUGGGAUUGGCUAGUAGGUGGGGUAAAGGCUAACCUAGGCGACGAUCUCUAGCUGGUCUGAGAGGAUGAUCAGCCACACUGGGACUGAGACACGGCCCAGACUCCUACGGGAGGCAGCAGUGGGGAAUAUUGCACAAGGGGCGAAAGCCUGAUGCAGCCAUGCCGCGUGUAUGAAGAAGGCCUUAGGGUUGUAAAGUACUUUCAGCGGGGAGGCGUUACCCGCAGAAGAAGCACCGGCUAACUCCGUGCCAGCAGCCGCGGUAAUUC
rnacentral:rRNA from 1 species